GAGUGCAUGACGUGAUCUUGGCUCACUGGAAACUCCGCCUCCCAGGUUCAAGCAAUUCUCCUGCCUCAGCCCCCUCAGUAGCUGGGAUUACAGAAUAAACAGCUGAAAGUUUGACUUCUUAUUUACUCUCUGCUGGCUAUACCGGUAUAUUUUGUGGAAUAAGAUUGGAAAAAGUUGGGGGAAAAGAGAGGAUUGGAGAAAAAAGGAAAAGAUAAGUCACUUUUGAAUAUGCCAGUGUUGCACUUUUCUACAAUUUUGGAAAAUCUUGGAAAUCAGAUCCAGGGAUUAUUAAAGCAACAGAAGAGCAAAAGAAAAAGACAAUAGUUGAACUUGCAGAGACAGGAAGUCUGGACCUCAGUAUAUUCUGCAGUACCUGUUUGAUACGAAAACCGGUGAGGUCCAAACAUUGUGGUGUGUGCAACCGCUGUAUAGCAAAAUUUGAUCAUCAUUGCCCAUGGGUGGGUAACUGUGUAGGUGCAGGCAACCAUAGAUAUUUUAUGGGCUACCUAUUCUUCUUGCUUUUUAUGAUCUGCUGGAUGAUUUAUGGUUGUAUAUCUUACUGGGGACUCCACUGUGAGACCACUUACACCAAGGAUGGAUUUUGGACAUACAUUACUCAGAUUGCCACGUGUUCACCUUGGAUGUUUUGGAUGUUCCUGAACAGUGUUUUCCACUUCAUGUGGGUG
rnacentral:lncRNA from 10 species